CCUCCACCUAUACCUACAUCUCCAUCUACCGAACAUCAGACCCCUCCAGCUACCUUGCCGACGCAUGAACAAGAGGACGGGUUAGACUUUGUCAAAACCCUCUUCAAUAGUGGAGGUAUCGACCAUCACUCUUCACUGUAACCCGAUGGUGAUCGGCGACCGUGAGCUUCCAUGUUAUUGUGUUCUGAUACUUGAGACUUUUAUUAUGACUAUGUAUGAGAUAUUGUCUCUUAUUAGUACUAGAUGAUGAGAUGUGUGUUAUUAUGACUAUGGAUGAGACUUUUGUGAUGUAAUUGAUGAGACUAUGGAUGAGACUUUUGUGAUGUA